GAUGAACGCUGGCGGCGUGCCUAAUACAUGCAAGUCGAGCGAUCGGACGAGAAGCUUGCUUCUCUGAUGUUAGCGGCGGACGGGUGAGUAACACGUGGAUAACCUACCUAUAAGACUGGGAUAACUUCGGGAAACCGUAGCUAAUACCGGAUAAUAUUUUGAACCGCAUGGUUCAAAAGUGAAAGACGGUCUUGCUGUCACUUAUAGAUGGAUCCGCGCUGCAUUAGCUAGUUGGUAAGGUAACGGCUUACCAAGGCAACGAUGCAUAGCCGGCCUGAGAGGGUGAUCGGCCACACUGGAACUGAGACACGGUCCAGACUCCUACGGGAGGCAGCAGUAGGGAAUCUUCCGCAAUGGGCGAAAGCCUGACGGAGCAACGCCGCGUGAGUGAUGAAGGUCUUCGGAUCGUAAAACUCUGUUAUUAGGGAAGAACAUAUGUGUAAGUAACUGUGCACAUCUUGACGGUACCUAAUCAGAAAGCCACGGCUAACUACGUG
rnacentral:rRNA from 1 species